GCAGAGAGUCAUGCAUGAACAAAUGCAUGCUAGUACCUAGCUUGUCUCCAUUUUAUACAGUCCAGGAUCUGCUGCCAAAGGAAUGACCCCACCCACAACUGGAUGACUGCUUGAUGAUUCCUUGGUUCUGAGCCCCCAUGACAACCAAUUCAUCCUACUGGGACCCAAGCAUCCAUGCGUAGAAUGCACUGAAGAGACCUAGCAGUCAGGACCGACACUUCCUCCAGCAAGAAGAUUUGAAGAUUCCUC